rnacentral:rRNA from 1 species
GAUGAACGCUGGCGGCGUGCUUAACACAUGCAAGUCGAACGGUGAAGCCCAGCUUGCUGGGUGGAUCAGUGGCGAACGGGUGAGUAACACGUGAGCAAUCUGCCCCUGACUCUGGGAUAAGCGCUGGAAACGGCGUCUAAUACUGGAUAUGAACCGUGGAGGCAUCUUCAACGGUUGGAAAGAUUUUUUGGUCAGGGAUGAGCUCGCGGCCUAUCAGCUUGUUGGUGAGGUAAUGGCUCACCAAGGCGUCGACGGGUAGCCGGCCUGAGAGGGUGACCGGCCACACUGGGACUGAGACACGGCCCAGACUCCUACGGGAGGCAGCAGUGGGGAAUAUUGCACAAUGGGCGCAAGCCUGAUGCAGCAACGCCGCGUGAGGGAUGACGGCCUUCGGGUUGUAAACCUCUUUUAGCAGGGAAGAAGCGAAAGUGACGGUACCUGCAGAAAAAGCGCCGGCUAACUACGUGCCAGCAGCCGCGGUAAUACGUAGGGCGCAAGCGUUAUCCGGAAUUAUUGGGCGUAAAGAGCUCGUAGGCGGUUUGUCGCGUCUGCUGUGAAAUCCCGAGGCUCAACCUCGGGUCUGCAGUGGGUACGGGCAGACUAGAGUGCGGUAGGGGAGAUUGGAAUUCCUGGUGUAGCGGUGGAAUGCGCAGAUAUCAGGAGGAACACCGAUGGCGAAGGCAGAUCUCUGGGCCGUAACUGACGCUGAGGAGCGAAAGGGUGGGGAGCAAACAGGCUUAGAUACCCUGGUAGUCCACCCCGUAAACGUUGGGAACUAGUUGUGGGGUCCAUUCCACGGAUUCCGUGACGCAGCUAACGCAUUAAGUUCCCCGCCUGGGGAGUACGGCCGCAAGGCUAAAACUCAAAGGAAUUGACGGGGACCCGCACAAGCGGCGGAGCAUGCGGAUUAAUUCGAUGCAACGCGAAGAACCUUACCAAGGCUUGACAUAUACGAGAACGCUGCAGAAAUGUAGAACUCUUUGGACACUCGUAAACAGGUGGUGCAUGGUUGUCGUCAGCUCGUGUCGUGAGAUGUUGGGUUAAGUCCCGCAACGAGCGCAACCCUCGUUCUAUGUUGCCAACACGUAAUGGUGGGAACUCAUGGGAUACUGCCGGGGUCAACUCGGAGGAAGGUGGGGAUGACGUCAAAUCAUCAUGCCCCUUAUGUCUUGGGCUUCACGCAUGCUACAAUGGCCGGUACAAAGGGCUGCAAUACCGUAAGGUGGAGCGAAUCCCAAAAAGCCGGUCCCAGUUCGGAUUGAGGUCUGCAACUCGACCUCAUGAAGUCGGAGUCGCUAGUAAUCGCAGAUCAGCAACGCUGCGGUGAAUACGUUCCCGGGUCUUGUACACACCGCCCGUCAAGUCAUGAAAGUCGGUAACACCUGAAGCCGGUGGCCCAACCCUUGUGGAGGGAGCCGUCGAAGGUGGGAUCGGUAAUUAGGACU